rnacentral:misc_RNA from 1 species
GGAAGUAAAAGUCGUAAUAAGGUCUCCGUUGGUGAACCAGCGGAGGGAUCAUUACCGAGUUUACAACUCCCAAACCCCUGUGAACAUACCAUUUGUUGCCUCGGCGGUGCCUGCUUCGGCAGCCCGCCAGAGGACCCAAACCCUUGAUUUUAUACAGUAUCUUCUGAGUAAAUGAUUAAAUAAAUCAAAACUUUCAACAACGGAUCUCUUGGUUCUG